GAAUAAUUAAACAAACCAAAUGGCAUCACUGGUGGUUCUUUUUUCAACUCCGCUAAACUGUCAUCUCAAACAAAAACAAUUGGAUCAUACAACUGCUAUGAAUACAUUCGACUCGUUUGCUUCCAUCAAUCGGUAAGUGAGAAAGAUGAUUUCUCUCAUCACCACAGUGCGGAUUUCCACUUCUAUCACAGCAGCCAACAACAUCCGUUUUCCUGCAGCAGUAACCUCCAACCCCUGUUGGCAAUGCCGGAGGACAGCAUUAACAGCAGCAGCAGCAGAAUUUGACCAUGGUAUGGUAUUGCGAAGAACUUUCCCCAUUAGAGGUUCCGUGCUUCGCGCACAUUCAAAAAUCCUCUUCAGACACGAAAACUUAACGACAAGGAGGUAUUUAUCAACUUGCUCAGCUGAAUUACCACCCAGAGGAACCCGAAUGCACUGAUUCCGUUGUAUAGUAGAAUGAAAAUAGGCGAGGUAAGCGAACGUAAUCGCAUGAUAUUUUAAUGUUCGCAUUUUUAUCCGGAUCAUACAACUGCUAUGAAUACAUCCGACUCAAUCAAUCGGCGAAUGAGAAAGAUGAUUUCCCUCAUCUCCACAUUGCUUAUUUCCACUUCUGUCACACCAGCCAACAGCAUCAGCUUUCCCGCAGCAGUAUCCUUUAAAUCCAGGGUGCUAUUCCGGGGAACAGCAUCAACAGCAACAGCAGCAGGACCUGGCCAUCGAUAGUAUUUCGAGCAAUUUUCCCCAUCGGAGAUCCCGUGCUUCACGCACAUUGAAGAAUCCUCCUCAGCCACAUAUCUGUGUCAUCAAGGGCAGGUAUUCAUCAAUGUACUCAGUCGGAUUUGAAUCGUCAAUCCAGACAACCCGGAUGCACCGAUUCCAUUAUAUACAUUAUUUUGACGUAGGACUACGUCUAACCGGAAGAUAUAGGGGGUGAAAUGAGAAUCUAGGCACUGAACAAGUAGGAAAAAAUGCAAGAUUUGGAACGCUUAUAACUCGAGCAUUUCUCAAUAGAUCGCAAAGGUUUUUGCAUCGAUUGAUAGGAAAUAUAUCUACGCAUCUAUCAUAACGAAUAACAUUUCAUUUUUCUUGAGAUAAAUAAUUGAAUAAUUGUGAAAUAUCAAGCAUUGUCCAAAUGCACUAUGUGCCCAUUUUUGAUUGGUCCAUUUUGUGCUCCUCAAAUCGUACCGACCAAAACGGGCAACCAGAGCAGCAGCGAAAUAGAAUGAAGCACGAUUGGAAAGGAAAAAGAAAAAAAUGAACGAAACAUUGGUCGCAGUCUCACACAUGCGUAAUUCCCGAGCUAACCAGUCAGUUUAAAAAUCUCCGCUCCGCUGCCGUAACGAUCAUUCUCAUCCAAACCGUACACCACAUCGUUUCGCAUCACAUCACAUCAACAAACCAACACAAGCAGCCAUGGUUGGAUAUGGCAAAGGAGGAAAAGUGAAGGGAAAGGCGUGUUGGUCUGGAGUUCCCCGCAAGGGUAGCUAGGCCGAGCGCGUUAGUACCAGUGCACCAGUCCACCUAGCCACCGUUAUAUAGUUUCGGCCGCCGAAAUGAUCGAGUUGGGUGGCAAAAUUGCUCGCGACGAUAAGAAAACCGGCAUUCAGAACAGACCACAUUCGGUUCGGUGGACAUCAAGACAACAACAGGCAGUUGUAGCGAGUGGCGAGUGGCGAGUAGCAAACGCAAUCGCAAAACGGCAGCAGGUAGAAAAAGGAAAAAAUUUGUUUAUACAGACUGCUUUGGUGGCAAAAACAGCUACCGUAAAACACGGCGCUUUUCAGGGCUAUUAAACCUAUUAAAGAAGAGUUAUUAAAAGUUAUUCACAAUACCAAUGCAUUCUAAAGUGACAUAAUAUGACAUAUAAUAUGAACUGAUUUAUUUUGUUUAUGCUUGUUUUUGAACUUAUUGGAGGUUGGGGUCUUUUAAAUUGAUCAUUCAGUUUUCACAAACCCAUGCAUGGUUCCUGAAUUGAAAGUGGCUUCAAAUUACAACACAUUGUAUGCAGGAUGGCAUUCACGAAUUUUCUCGGUAGCAAGAACUGCUUUCUUUGGUUGAUAACUGAUGUUGAAAAUUGACUGACGUUACAUCUGCAUUGUAUAGAAACAUAACUAAGGAGCAACAUGAUGAGCUAUGUAUUUCCUGCUGCUCUGUUCUUAUUUUAAAGGACUUUAUUCCGAAGGUCAUCCGUCCCUAUAUUUACUGUUGGUUUUUCAGAACGCUUAUAGCUCAUCUGUUUCUCGACAGAUCUUAAAGUUCGUCUCCAAAUCCUCAGUUCUUUUUCAUUUUUAUUUACAUUGUUUGUGGAGACUACAAAUCUUACAAUUCAUUCGUCUCCGAAACCACAGUUUAAGGUACGGUAAUGUGAAAUUUAUGAUAGUGAAUGAGCUGAGGACCACUAUGCAUUCCUUAUCAUAGCCAUCAUUUUGAUUUUAUGAUAUGUGCAUACGCCAAAGGAUGCCCGAAGUUGAACAUUCAAUAAGUAAAAAUAUCAAGAAGCAACUAUAAGAUAGUGAGAAAAAAUUGAGAAAGUUUUAAAAAAACGCAAAAACACAACACCAAAAGUUCUUUUCAGAACCCCCAACAUGUUCAUAAAGAGUGAACAAUAAACUAAUCCAUUUUUCAUUUAGAUAGGUAGGUAUUCACCGAGGAGAAGAAAAUAAAACAAUAUAUUUAGCAAAAGCUGUCCCCUUUAUAUAGUCCUACGUCACUCCGGUUAUGUCCCUGACAUUACCCACCUGUCUUUUUUUAUUAUACAUGGAUUUUUAUUAUUUUUUUUCAAUAAAAUGAUUAAAAUCGAUCAAUGUAUUUCCUUUUCAUUUUCAAUAACAAACCAAUACAAACAACCCACAUUCCGUUUUGCCUGCCAAGAUCGGGUCGAUGAAAUGUCAACAAUCGACCUCAAAUGCUGCCACCUUGCAAUCGAGUUCUCGACCUUUCAUAUGCAUUCAUCGAACAACUUGACGCCACUUUUUCGCCAACAUGUGCAAGGCGUCGACCUGCUUGCAGCGCUGCUUCCAGCACUGCUUGCUGCUUGUUUGUAUUGGUUUGUUAUUGAAAAUGAAAAGGAAAUACAUAGAUCGAUUUUAAUCAUUUUAUUGAAAACAUAAUAAUAAAAAACCAUGUAUAAUAAACAUAAGGUAUAUAAUGGAAUCGGUGCAUCCGGGUUGUCUGGAUUGACGAUUCAAAUCCGACUGAGUACAUUGAUGAAUACCUCCUUGCCCUUGAUGACACAGAUAUGUGGCUGAGGAGGAUUCUUCAAUGUGCGUGAAGCACGGGAUCUCCGAUGGGGAAAAUUGCUCGAAAUACUGUCGAUGACCAGGUCCUGCUGCUGUUGCUGUUGAUGCUGUUCCCCGGAAUAGCACCCUGGACUUAAAGGAUAC